rnacentral:rRNA from 1 species
UUAAGUUAAUAAGGGCGCACGGUGGAUGCCUUGGCACUAGAAGCCGAUGAAGGACGUGACUAACGACGAAAUGCUUUGGGGAGCUGUAAGUGAGCAAUGAUCCAGAGAUGUCCGAAUGGGGGAACCCGGCAGGUAAUGCCUGUCACUCAUUACUGUUAAGGUAAUGUAGAGGAAGACGCAGUGAACUGAAACAUCUAAGUAGCUGUAGGAAGAGAAAGCAAAAGCGAUUGCCUUAGUAGCGGCGAGCGAAACGGCAAGAGGGCAAACCGAAGAGUUUACUCUUCGGGGUUGUAGGACUGCAACGUGGACUUAAAGAUUAUAGAAGAACUACCUGGGAAGGUAGGCCAAAGAGAGUAAUAGCCUCGUAUUCGAAAUAGUCUUUAUACCUAGCAGUAUCCUGAGUACGGCGAGACACGAGAAAUCUCGUCGGAAUCUGGGAGGACCAUCUCCCAACCCUAAAUACUCUCUAGUGACCGAUAGUGAACCAGUACCGUGAGGGAAAGGUGAAAAGCACCCCGGGAGGGGAGUGAAAUAGAACCUGAAACCGUGUGCCUACAACAAGUUCGAGCCCGUUAAUGGGUGAGAGCGUGCCUUUUGUAGAAUGAACCGGCGAGUUACGAUAUGAUGCGAGGUUAAGUUGAAGAGACGGAGCCGUAGGGAAACCGAGUCUUAAUAGGGCGCAUUAGUAUCAUGUCGUAGACCCGAAACCAUGUGACCUACCCAUGAGCAGGUUGAAGGUGAGGUAAAACUCACUGGAGGACCGAACCAGGGCACGUUGAAAAGUGCUUGGAUGACUUGUGGGUAGCGGAGAAAUUCCAAACGAACUUGGAGAUAGCUGGUUCUCUCCGAAAUAGCUUUAGGGCUAGCGUCGAUGUUAAGUCUCUUGGAGGUAGAGCACUGUUUGGGUGAGGGGUCCAUCCCGGAUUACCAAUCUCAGAUAAACUCCGAAUGCCAAUGAGAUAUAAUCGGCAGUCAGACUGCGAGUGCUAAGAUCCGUAGUCGAAAGGGAAACAGCCCAGACCACCAGCUAAGGUCCCAAAAUAUAUGUUAAGUGGAAAAGGAUGUGGGGUUGCACAGACAACUAGGAUGUUAGCUUAGAAGCAGCUAUUCAUUCAAAGAGUGCGUAAUAGCUCACUAGUCGAGUGACCCUGCGCCGAAAAUGUACCGGGGCUAAAACAUAUUACCGAAGCUGUGGAUACCUUUAUAGGUAUGGUAGGAGAGCGUUCUAUGUGCGAAGAAGGUGUACCGUGAGGAGUGCUGGAGCGCAUAGAAGUGAGAAUGCCGGUAUGAGUAGCGAAAGACAGGUGAGAAUCCUGUCCACCGUAAGACUAAGGUUUCCAGGGGAAGGCUCGUCCGCCCUGGGUUAGUCGGGACCUAAGGAGAGACCGAAAGGUGUAUCCGAUGGACAACAGGUUGAUAUUCCUGUACUAGAGUAUAUAGUGAUGGAGGGACGCAGUAGGCUAACUAAACCAGACGAUUGGAAGUGUCUGGCCAAGCAGUGAGGUGUGAUAUGAGUCAAAUGCUUAUAUCUUUAACAUUGAGCUGUGAUGGGGAGCGAAGUUUAGUAGCGAAGUUAGUGAUGUCACACUGCCGAGAAAAGCUUCUAGCGUUAAUUAUACUCUACCCGUACCGCAAACCGACACAGGUAGUCGAGGCGAGUAGCCUCAGGCUGAGCGAGAGAACUCUCGUUAAGGAACUCGGCAAAAUGGCCCCGUAACUUCGGGAGAAGGGGCGCUGACUGAUGGUCAGCCGCAGUGAAUAGGCCCAAGCAACUGUUUAUCAAAAACACAGCUCUCUGCUAAAUCGUAAGAUGAUGUAUAGGGGGUGACGCCUGCCCGGUGCUGGAAGGUUAAGAGGAGUGCUUAGCGUAAGCGAAGGCAUGAAUUGAAGCCCCAGUAAACGGCGGCCGUAACUAUAACGGUCCUAAGGUAGCGAAAUUCCUUGUCGGGUAAGUUCCGACCCGCACGAAAGGCGUAAUGAUUUGGGCACUGUCUCAACGAGAGACUCGGUGAAAUUUUAGUACCUGUGAAGAUGCAGGUUACCCGCGACAGGACGGAAAGACCCCAUGGAGCUUUACUGCAGUUUGAUAUUGAGUAUCUGUACCACAUGUACAGGAUAGGUAGGAGCCUAUGACCUCGGGACGCCAGUUUCGAGUGAGGCGUUGUUGGGAUACUACCCUUGUGUUAUUGGCUCUCUAACCCAGAUAGGUUAUCCCUAUCGGAGACAGUGUCAGACGGGCAGUUUGACUGGGGCGGUCGCCUCCGAAAAGGUAACGGAGGCGCCCAAAGGUUCCCUCAGAAUGGUUGGAAAUCAUUCGCAGAGUGUAAAGGUAUAAGGGAGCUUGACUGCGAGAGCUACAACUCGAGCAGGGACGAAAGUCGGGCUUAGUGAUCCGGUGGUUCCGUAUGGAAGGGCCAUCGCUCAAC